rnacentral:rRNA from 1 species
ACACAUGCAAGUCGAACGAAGCAAUUUUCUACGAUCCCUUCGGGGUGACGGAUUAUUGACUGAGUGGCGGACGGGUGAGUAACGCGUGGGUAACCUACCUUGUACAGGGGGACAACAGUUGGAAACGACUGCUAAUACCGCAUAAGCGCACAGCAUCGCAUGAUGCAGUGUGAAAAGUUUUUUCGGUACAAGAUGGACCCGCGUCUGAUUAGCUAGUUGGUGAGGUAACGGCCCACCAAGGCCGACGAUCAGUAGCCGACCUGAGAGGGUGACCGGCCACAUUGGGACUGAGACACGGCCCAAACUCCUACGGGAGGCAGCAGUGGGGAAUAUUGCACAAUGGGCGAAAGCCUGAUGCAGCGACGCCGCGUGAGCGAAGAAGUAUUUCGGUAUGUAAAGCUCUAUCAGCAGGGAAGAUAAUGA